rnacentral:lncRNA from 1 species
AAAAUGGGAUAAACUAUUGUGUAUGAAGUGAAGAACAAAAUUUGCAAAGGAGAUGAAAAAUACUUGUUGCAACAAGAAAUAGGGAAAGAAGGUUAGAAGGAUAAUCAUAAACAAAAUAAACUUGAUGAUUUUAGCCAUAUUUUCCAACCUUUACAUAUUUCAAAUAUAAUGUGAUGUUAUCACUUUAAUUUAUAAAGCUCGUGUUCUCCUUUUUUUUUUUGAACAGUCAUGUUCUACAUCAUUAAUUAAGAGGUCGUUUGUUAUAAUUUAUUUUAGAAAAAAAAUCAUUUUUUUUAUAAAUAUAAUCACUUUUAAUUGUUUUGUAUUUGUUUGUUACAGAUUUUUAAAAUAAUCAGUAAUUAAAAAUAAUCAGAAAAUAACUAAAAAUGAGAAGAUACUAUGAGUAGCUUAGGUGGACACUGUUGGGUAUCGUUUGGAUAAUCCUUGUCUUGAACACAUAAAAAGGAAUUAAUGUUAUUAAAUUGGGAUAAAAUAUUGUGUAUGAAGUAAAUAACGAAAUUUGCAAAGGAGAUUAAAAUACUUACCUACAAGGUUUGUUCCAAACAAGAAAUAGGGAAAGAAGGAUGAUCAUAAAAAAAACAAAAUUGACAAUUUUAGCCAUAUUUUCCAUCCCUUGCAUGUAUCAAAUAUAAUAUGAUUUUAUCACUUUUUAAUUUAUAAAGGUCAUGUUCUCUUUACAUCAAUUAAAA